UCGAGAAUUUUUCUCAAUGGGGGAAACCCUGAAGGAGCGACGCCGCGUGGAGGAUGAAGGUCUUCGGGUUGUAAACUCCUGUCAUUUGGGAACAAGUCGUACGUAGUUACUACACGUGCGUUGAUAGUACCAGAAGAGGAAGGGACGGCUAACUCUGUGCCAGCAGCCGCGGUAAUACAGAGGUCCCAAGCGUUGUUCGGAUUCAUUGGGCGUAAAGGGUGCGUAGGUGGCGCCAUAAGUCAGGUGUGAAAUCUCGGGGCUUAACUCCGAAACUGCAUUUGAUACUGUGGUGCUUGAGGACUGGAGAGGAGACUGGAAUUUACGGUGUAGCAGUGAAAUGCGUAGAGAUCGUAAGGAAGACCAGUGGCGAAGGCGGGUCUCUGGACAGUUCCUGACACUGAGGCACGAAGGCCAGGGGAGCAAACGGGAUUAGAUACCCCCGUAGUCC
rnacentral:rRNA from 1 species